GACGAACCGAGCGAACGUUAUUCGGAAUCACUGGGCUUAAAGGGUGCGUAGGCGGGCACGCGAGUCAGGGGUGAAAUCCCACGGCCCAACCGUGGAAGUGCCUCUGAUACCGCGAGCCUCGAGGGGGAUAGGGGCGUGCGGAACUUCCGGUGGAGCGGUGAAAUGCGUAGAUAUCGUGAGGAACACCAGUGGCGAAGGCGACACUCUGGAGAGCAACUGACGCUGAGGCACGAAGGCCAGGGGAGCGAACGGG
rnacentral:rRNA from 1 species